UACAGAGGGGGCAAGCGUUGUUCGGAAUUACUGGGCGUAAAGGGCGCGUAGGCGGCCUGCUAAGUCGAACGUGAAAUCCCUGAGCUCAACCCAGGAACUGCGUCCGAUACUGGUUGGCUUGAAUCCGGGAGAGGGAUGUGGAAUUCCAGGUGUAGCGGUGAAAUGCGUAGAUAUCUGGAGGAACACCGGUGGCGAAGGCGACAUCCUGGACCGGUAUUGACGCUGAGGCGCGAAAGCCAGGGGAGCAAACGGG
rnacentral:rRNA from 1 species